UACGUAGGGGGCUAGCGUUAUCCGGAAUUACUGGGCGUAAAGGGUGCGUAGGUGGUUUCUUAAGUCAGAGGUGAAAGGCUACGGCUCAACCGUAGUAAGCCUUUGAAACUGGGAAGCUUGAGUGCAGGAGAGGAGAGUGGAAUUCCUAGUGUAGCGGUGAAAUGCGUAGAUAUUAGGAGGAACACCAGUUGCGAAGGCGGCUCUCUGGACUGUAACUGACACUGAGGCACGAAAGCGUGGGGAGCAAACAGG
rnacentral:rRNA from 1 species